AUUGAACGCUGGCGGCAGGCCUAACACAUGCAAGUCGAACGAGUGGCGGACGGGUGAGUAAUGUCUGGGAAACAGCCUGAUGGAGGGGGAUAACUACUGGAAACGGUAGCUAAUACCGCAUACCAUUGGAUGUGCCCAGAUGGGAUUAGCCAGUAGGUGGGGUAAAGGCUCACCUAGGAGACGAUCCCUAGCCGGUCUGAGAGGAUGACCAGCCACACUGGAACUGAGAAACGGUCCAGACUCCUACGGGAGGCAGCAGUAGGGAAUAUUGCACAAUGGGCGCAAGCCUGAUGCAGCCAUGCCGCGUGUAUGAAGAAGGCCUUCGGUUGGUAAAGUACUUUCAUCGGGGAGGCGUUACCCGCAGAAGAAGCACCGGCUAACUCCGUGCCAGCAGCCGCGGUAAUAC
rnacentral:rRNA from 1 species